AGAGUUUGAUCCUGGCUCAGGAUGAACGCUGGCGGCGUGCUUAACACAUGCAAGUCGAACGGAGUUUACUUAACAGAUUUCUUCGGAAUGAUGUUUUUUAAACUUAGUGGCGGACGGGUGAGUAACGCGUGGGUAACCUGCCUUACACAGGGGGAUAGCAGUUGGAAACGACUGGUAAUACCGCAUACCUUACAUUAUUCGCAUGUUUGAUGUAAGAAAGAUUUAUCGGUGUAAGAUGGACCCGCGUCUGAUUAGCUAGUUGGUGUGGUAACGGCAUACCAAGGCGACGAUCAGUAGCCGGCCUGAGAGGGUGAACGGCCACAUUGGGACUGAGAUACGGCCCAGACUCCUACGGGAGGCAGCAGUGGGGAAUAUUGCACAAUGGAGGCAACUCUGAUGCAGCGACGCCGCGUGAGUGAAGAAGUAUUUCGGUAUGUAAAGCUCUAUCAGUAGGGAAGAUAAUGACGGUACCUACAGAAGAAGCCCCGGCUAAAUACGUGCCAGCAGCCGCGGUAAUACGUAUGGGCAAGCGUUAUCCGGAUUUACUGGGUGUAAAGGGAGCGUAGACGGUAAAGCAAGUCUGAAGUGAAAGCCCGGGGCUCAACCCCGGGACUGCUUUGGAAACUGUUUAACUAGAGUGCUGGAGAGGUAAGCGGAAUUCCUAGUGUAGCGGUGAAAUGCGUAGAUAUUAGGAGGAACACCAGUGGCGAAGGCGGCUUACUGGACAGUAACUGACGUUGAGGCUCGAAAGCGUGGGGAGCAAACAGGAUUAGAUACCCUGGCAGUCCACGCCGUAAACGAUGAAUACUAGGUGUUGGGGGACAAAGUCCUUCGGUGCCGUCGCAAACGCAAUAAGUAUUCCACCUGGGGAGUACGUUCGCAAGAAUGAAACUCAAAGGAAUUGACGGGGACCCGCACAAGCGGUGGAGCAUGUGGUUUAAUUCGAAGCAACGCGAAGAACCUUACCAAAUCUUGACAUCCCUCUGACCGGCGAGUAAUGUCGCCUUUCCUUCGGGACAGAGGAGACAGGUGGUGCAUGGUUGUCGUCAGCUCGUAUCGUGAGAUGUUGGGUUAAGCCCCGCAACGAGCGCAACCCUUAUCCUAAGUAGCCAGCAGUUCGGCUGGGCACUCUUGGGAGACUGCCAGGGAUAACCUGGAGGAAGGUGGGGAUGACGUCAAAUCAUCAUGCCCCUUAUGAUUUGGGCUACACACGUGCUACAAUGGCGUAAACAAAGAGAAGCGAGACCGCGAGGUGGAGCAAACCUCAAAAAUAACGUCUCAGUUCGGACUGCAGGCUGCAACUCGCCUGCACGAAGCUGGAAUCGCUAGUAAUCGCGAAUCAGAAUGUCGCGGUGAAUACGUUCCCGGGUCUUGUACACACCGCCCGUCACACCAUGGGAGUCAGUAAUGCCCGAAGUCAGUGACCCAACCGAAAGGAGGGAGCUGCCGAAGGCAGGACCGAUAACUGGGGUGAAGUCGUAACAAGGUA
rnacentral:rRNA from 1 species